UAGCGGAGGAAAAGAAACUAACAAGGAUUCCCCUAGUAACGGCGAGUGAAGCGGGAAGAGCUCAAAUUUGUAAUCUGGCCCUUUCAGGGUCCGAGUUGUAAUCUCGAGAAGUGUUUUCCGCGCCGGACCGCAUACAAGUCUGUUGGAAUACAGCGUCAUAGUGGUGAGAGCCCCGUAAUUGAUGUGGAUGCCCGGUGCUUUGUGAUACACUUUCGAAGAGUCGAGUUGUUUGGGAAUGCAGCUCAAAUUGGGUGGUAAAUUCCAUCUAAAGCUAAAUAUUGGCGAGAGACCGAUAGCGAACAAGUACCGUGAGGGAAAGAUGAAAAGCACUUUGGAAAGAGAGUUAACAGUACGUGAAAUUGUUGGAAGGGAAACGCUUGAAGUCAGACUUGCUAUUCGGAAUUCAGCCGCAAGGUGUACUUUUCGAUUUGCAGGCCAGCAUCAGUUUUUGGGGGUGGAAAAGGGUGGAGAGAAGGUAGCAACCUUGGUUGUGUUAUAGCUCUUUACUGGAUUCAUCUUUGGGGACUGAGGAUCGCAGUGCGCAAUUUACUUUGCAAACCUUUCGAGGUUUUCGUACUUAGGAUGCUGGUGGAAUGGCUUUAAACGACCCGUCUUGA
rnacentral:rRNA from 1 species